UACGUAGGGGGCAAGCGUUGUCCGGGAUUUAUUGGGCGUAAAGAGCGUUGUAGGCGGCCUUACAGGUCAGCUGUGAAAACUCGAGGCUCAACCUCGAGACGUCGGUUGAAACCGUAAGGCUAGAGUCCGGAAGAGGAGAGUGGAAUUCCCGGUGUAGCGGUGAAAUGACGCAGAUAUCAGGAGGAACACCGAUGGCGAAGGCAGGUCUCUGGGCCAUAACUGACGCUGGAGA
rnacentral:rRNA from 1 species